GGUUAAGCGACUAAGCGUACACGGUGGAUGCCCUGGCAGUCAGAGGCGAUGAAGGGCGUGCUAAUCUGCGAUAAGCGCCGGUAAGGUGAUAUGAACCGUUAUAACCGGCGAUACCCGAAUGGGGAAACCCAGUGUGAUUCGUCACACUAUCAUUAACUGAAUCCAUAGGUUAAUGAGGCGAACCGGGGGAACUGAAACAUCUAAGUACCCCGAGGAAAAGAAAUCAACCGAGAUUCCCCCAGUAGCGGCGAGCGAACGGGGAGGAGCCCAGAGCCUGAAUCAGCAUGUGUGUUAGUGGAAGCGUCUGGAAAGGCGCGCGAUACAGGGUGACAGCCCCGUACACAAAAGCGCAUGUGCUGUGAGCUCGAUGAGUAGGGCGGGACACGUGGUAUCCUGUCUGAAUAUGGGGGGACCAUCCUCCAAGGCUAAAUACUCCUGACUGACCGAUAGUGAACCAGUACCGUGAGGGAAAGGCGAAAAGAACCCCGGCGAGGGGAGUGAAAAAGAACCUGAAACCGUGUACGUACAAGCAGUGGGAGCACAGGUUUACCUGUGUGACUGCGUACCUUUUGUAUAAUGGGUCAGCGACUUAUAUUCUGUAGCAAGGUUAACCGAAUAGGGGAGCCGGAGGGAAACCGAGUCUUAACCGGGCGUUAAGUUGCAGGGUAUAGACCCGAAACC
rnacentral:rRNA from 1 species